UUUAAUUUAAAUUAUUUCUGAGUAGUACAAGUUAUAAUCUUUAAACUCAAAAGAUUUGGCGGUAUUUUAUCUUAUUAGAGGAACUUGUUUGUUAAUUGAUAAUCCACAAUUAUUAUUUACUUUAAUUAAAAAUAUUUGUAUACCGCUGUCAUGAAUAUAUUAAAAAAUUAAUUUUCCAUUAUUUGUUAUUAAAUAAAUUUAUGUUAGGUCAAGGUGCAGUUUGUUAAAGAAUUAAUGAGUUACUUUAAACAAUAUGAAUGGAAAUUUAAAAUUUAAUUUAAAUUGAAAACGGAUUUAAAAGUAAACAUAUUUAUAAUAAUAAAAUGAAUUUAGAUUCUAAAAUAUGU
rnacentral:rRNA from 1 species